UAUUAGUAAUUAACAAAUUAUACUUGAUCAUAAUUUAAUAUAAUCAAAACUGAUACAUAUUAUCUGUACUAUUUUCCUAUCGAUCAUCAAUUAAUAUAAUAUAAUAUUUUAAUAUACGUAUUAUUAUCAUCCUAUUUCUUCGUAGGGUUUUUCCGUAUUAUUAUUCUAGGUUGUCAUGAAAUUUAUUUUUUUUUUUGUCGGGGAUUUAUUUAGAUAUUACAAUUAGAGAAAGAUUACAAAGACGAUUCGAUAACCGGCAAUACUACCUGCCUUAUGAGGAUCUACGCCUAACUGCAUCAUUUGAGCCGUCCUAUGAAGAUCAUGCCUGACUGGAUUUACUUGCACCAUGUUGAGAAAUCCUUGUAAGCUUUUCUUCCGUAAUCGCAUAAUUGUUGAAUAAAUCGCUUGCUCCGGAAAUUGAAACCUGGAUUUCCUGUGCAAUCUGCAAGAAAUUGCAUAGUCUGAGAUUUGAACCCCAGACCUGGGUGUCAUGAAAUUUAUUAAUCAACAUAUUUUGACUACUGACUAAAAAGAAUGAGGUAUUAGAAUGGUAGGUUUUUGUUCUAGGUGUUACCAUUAUUCUAGGUAGUCAUAAAUUUUAUUAAUGACCAUAUUUUUGACUACUACUCAAGCAUAUGCUGUAUUAUAUACAAGAAAAAGGUGAAAGAUAAAGAUGAAAUAGUCAUCUAAUUACUAGAUCAAUUCCUUGUAUGUGUCAUGAAAGUAAUUCUUCUGUCGUCUAAAGGUUAGAUCAAUUAUUUGUAUUGCCUUUGUUUAUCGAUAGAGAUGAAAGUAAUUCGCCACUUUGAUAAUGUGUUCCGUUUUUCAUAUAGAGCACAAAAAAAAAAAAAAAAAAGGAAAAACGAGACUAAGAUAAUAAAAACGAUUGAUAUCAUGAUGUCGAUUAAGAACAAAAAGAACAAUAAUAUGAGGAACGAAAAAUAAGAACAAAGAUAAAGAAAAAAUUUACAUAACUAUGAAUUUGAUCAAAAUAAAAAAUAUAUUACUAUAAAAAGUAUAUUUUUAACACCAAAUGUUUAUAUUAAAAAUUAAAGACUAAAUCGGUCACAAGAGAAAUACUCGACGGUAAGCUGAUAAGCUAAUAUGACUAAAACACUACCGAAUAUAAAAGUGGUUAAAGAGGGAAAAUUGUAGAAAAACUCCAUUUGUAGUUUUAUAGCACCUACGUUCGAAAGAACACAUAGAUAAAUCAACGUUAAAGAACCUAACCAAUGGAUUUUAAAACCACUUGAAAACCGUCUUUAAAGAUGAUUAGAUACCUUGAUAUUGCAGUGAGAUUUGGAGAGACUGUAGGAGUAGAACUACCCACAAAGUCAUCGACGGUACAACUUCUGAUGAAAAUACCAAUUUAUAAAUUCGGGAGAUGCUGAAUUUUUGUGACUAAAAAAGUACUUCAAUAUGAAGUUUGUGAUGAACAUUUUUGACAUAUUUUAUUUGUCAUAUUUUAUUUGAAAUCAAAAUAUCAAUCAAACAAUGUCGACAAUCCUUAUUGUUUCUAUGUAAGUUUGUAAUAAGAUCUCUUUACAUCCAAUGGGUGGCAUCUUUAGGGUCGCCGAAUUCCAAAAUGCACAGAGAUGAAGAGAGAUAAUAAAAGAAAAUUCUAAAUCUGAAGGGAUAAAUUGGGAUCGAGAGAUGAACCCGAGGAGACUAUAUAAAUCUUCUACACCGCAAUAAAUAACCGCCCAACACAACUGUUCUGUCGCUGGCGGCGCCUAUUAGCACGGCCCAUAUGAAUCAUAAGAAGACCGACACAAAGCCCGUUAGUAGCCAGCAACGUAACAAGCAAGAGUUACCGUCAGUGACAACCAGAGCACAAGGAUGUUGUGUGGGACGUACGGAAAAGCAUACUCUACAGCUGGGGAAUCGAUACUCGCUACUCUCUGUCGCCACGUGAUUAGGUCACAGCUGUAGAGGAUCCAGAUCCUUCUUCUUCUCUUUAUAUAAAUAUCAAACAUUGUAACAAGAGAACGUUAAGCAAUAAAGUUAUAAGCUUGAGACAAACCCUUUGCUCUGUUUUACUCUGUUAACCUUCAUGGUAUCAGAGCUCAGCAAGUAGAUCAUGGAACCAAAUCCAGAUCCAGUUUCUGCGACGAAUCUUACCAUCACUCAGUGUGUUACGCUCAAGCUCAAGGAUGACAACUAUCUCAUCUGGAAACUGCAGUUCGAGCAGUUCCUUUCUUCUCAGGCGCUUCUGGGCUACGUCAACGGAGCCAUGCCACGACCUCCUCAAACCGUCACUGGGACACAAGGAGAACAGACUACCGAAGCAGCAAACCCUGAGUUUCUCCGAUGGGUUCAAAAAGAUCAGCUCAUCAUGGCUUGGAUCUACGGAACCUUAUCGGAGAACGCUCUUCGCACUGUCUACGGUCUCAACACUUCUCAGGAGGUCUGGCACUGUCUCGGUCAGAAGUACAACCGCGUUUCUGCUACCAGGAAGCUCGCUCUUCAGAGAAAGGUUCAAACUUUAUCAAAAGGAAACCGAACCAUGUCCGUCUAUCUCACUGAAAUCAAGACAUUGUGUGACCAACUUGACUCGAUUGGUGCUGCUAUUCCAGAAAGCGAGAAGAUUUUUGGUAUGCUUAAUGGUUUAGGAAAGGAAUAUGAGUCCAUUACUGCUGUUAUUGAAAACUCGAUGGACUCAUUUCCCGCACCAUCUCUUGAUGACGUCAUGUCCAAGCUUAUCUCCUUCGAUGAUAAGCUUCAGAACUAUGCUGCCGCCACUGAAGUCACUCCUCACCAAGCAUUCUACACUAACCGCGGUGGAUACUCUGGCCGUGGUCGUGGUCAGUCUCGAGGAGGAUACAGAGGACGUGGAUACUCUACACAAGGAAGGGGCUUCUAUCAACAGUUUGGUCCUAGCAAUGGACGUGGCACACAACAGAAUACUACAUCUCCUACUUGUCAAAUCUGUGGAAAGUUUGGUCAUGCAGCCUACAAAUGUUACAGAAGGUUUGAUCAAGACUUUCAACCGAGUCAUCAUCCUCAAGCAAACACAGUUAUGCGAACAGUGGAAGAGUCAGACUACGCUGGCAAUGACUGGUAUCCUGAUACUGCUGCUACUCAUCACAUCACCAGUUCCACUCAGCAUCUUCAGACUGCUCAGCCGUACUCUGGUUCUGAUUCAGUGAUUGUUGGCAAUGGUGACUUCCUUCCCAUCACGCACGUCGGCUCCAUUGCUAUUCCAUCGCUUUCAGGUACAUUACCUCUUAACGAUGUCUUAGUUUGCCCUCAGAUAACAAAAUCACUCCUGUCUGUGUCGAAGUUGACUGAUGAUUAUCCAUGUGAAUUCACAUUUGACUCACAAAAUGUACUUGUUAAGGACAAACAGACACAGCAGCUUCUCAGUCAAGGAAGCAAGCGUAAAGGUCUGUAUCGGCUUGAGAAUCCACAGUUUCUUGCGUUCUACUCAUCAAGACAGCAGAGUACGAGUGAUGGGACUUGGCACAAGAGAUUGGGGCAUCCUCACCAUCAGAUACUUCAGCAUCUAUCAUCAAGCAAAGCUAUUUCUAUAAAUAAAGUCUCUAAGACUGUGUGUGUGUCUUGUCAGUUAGGAAAAGUCUGCAAACUUCCUUUUUCCAGUUCUGUUUUUGAGUCUCUGAAACCUCUAGAGAGGAUACAUUGUGAUGUAUGGGGUCCUGCUCCUGUAACUUCAGUUCAAGGCUUCAGAUAUUACAUCAUUUUUAUUGAUAAUCAUUCAAGAUUCAGCUGGCUAUAUCCACUUAAACUCAAGUCUGAAGUGUUUGCAACUUUCAAAUCCUUUCAAUGUUUAGUGGAAAACCAGUUUGAAAGAAAGAUACAGAUUCUACAAACUGAUGGAGGAGGUGAGUUUGUCAACAACCAAUUUGCCUCUCAUCUCACACACUGUGGAAUCAAGCAUUAUCUCUCAUGUCCUCACACGCCAGAACAGAACGGAUUAGCGGAAAGAAAGCAUCGUCAUCUUGUGGAAUUAGGAAUGUCGAUGAUGUUUGAAGCAAAAAUGCCUCAGUCGCUCUGGGUUGAAGCACUGUUUACGGCUAACUUCUUAACAAACCUGCUUCCUCACACAGCACUUGGGAAAACAAGUAGUCCUUAUGAGAAGCUAAAUGGAUUCACACCUCACUACUCAGCCUUGCGUGUUUUUGGAUGUGCUUGCUACCCCUAUCUGCGCCCAUACUCGCAAAAUAAAUUUGAUCCCAAGAGUCUGUUGUGUGUUUUCUUGGGUUAUACGGAAAAGCAGAAAGGAUAUCGCUGCCUUCAUCCUCCAACAGGAAGGGUAUAUCUCAGUCGUCAUGUUCUCUUCGAUGAAACUAGAUUUCCGUAUGCCGACACCUAUCAAUCAUUUCUUCCUCAAGCUACUACUCCGCUACUAUCUGCUUGGUUAAAAGGUCUAAGUCCCAGCCAAGAAGAAGAAAAAGAGACAGUAUCUGAAAAGGUUGAUGAUCAAGUUAUCACUGGCAGUAGAAGACAAGCUACUCCACCUCAGGAACAAGGCAAUGCAGCUGAGGUCUUUCAACUUGUCGAAGAUGACUUCCCUCCACUCCCACCACCAUCUCCAGUCCAAAAUCUGAUCCAACCUCAAGAAGACAACACUCACACUAUGGUAACUCGGGCAAAAGCUGGCGUGAGAAAGCCAAACCCCCGUUACGUCCUUCACACGGUGAAAAGUGAAGUAACAAAACCAAAAAAUCUAGCAGAAGCCUUGCAUCAUCCAGGUUGGACUGCAGCUAUGGUCGAUGAAUAUGAUACAUGUCAGGAGACGAAAACUUGGAGUCUUGUUCCUCCUCCCUCGCAUGCUCACGUUCUUGGCUGUGGUUGGGUUCACAAGAUCAAGCUCAACGCAGAUGGAACAGUAGAGAAGCUUCGCUCCAGACUAGUGGCAAGAGGUAAUGAACAGGAGGAAGGUGUGGACUAUCUUGAAACCUAUAGUCCCGUUGUGAGGACAGCAACGAUCCGAAUGGUUUUACACACAGCAACUGUAAAUCGAUGGGACAUCAAACAGUUAGAUGUGAAGAACGCGUUUCUUCACGGGGAUCUAUCAGAGACUGUCUACAUGAGACAGCCACCAGGGUUCGAAGACGCUGCUCAUCCUGACCAUGUGUGUCUUCUUCACAAAGCUAUCUACGGACUGAAACAAGCCCCGCGUGCUUGGUUUGAUAAAUUCAGUGCAUUCCUUCUCAACUUCGGGUUUAUAUGCAGUGUCAAAGAUCCCUCUCUCUUCAUAUAUCAUCACGGUGAUACCACUAUCUUCUUACUAUUAUACGUUGAUGAUAUGGUGCUUACGGGAAACGACACGUCUGUUAUGAGAAAGCUUCUUCAAUCUCUCAGCUCAGAGUUCAGAAUGAAAGAUAUGGGUCCUUUAAGCUACUUUCUUGGAAUUCAAGUGAGGUAUACUCCAACAGGUCUGUUUCUGAAUCAAGAAAAGUAUGCUUCUGAGCUUUUACAAACCGCAGGGAUGCUUGACUGUGCUCCCAUGCCCACACCCUUACCCCUUCAGAUAGACAGAGUUCCGCACCAAGACGAGCUCUUUACUGACCCCACUUACUUCAGAAGUCUUGCAGGCAAGCUUCAGUAUUUGACAUUGACCAGGCCAGAUCUUCAGUUUGCAGUCAACUUGGUCUGUCAAAGGAUGCAUAAACCGACUUUGGCUGAUUUUCAUAUGCUUAAACGUGUUCUACGGUACGUAAAAGGAACACUGACGAUGGGACUACACUUUCAUUCUGACUCAGACUCAAGUCUCAAAGCCUUCUGCGAUAGUGACUGGGCUGGGUGUAGUGAAACAAGAAGAUCAACUGGAGGUUUCUGCACCAUACUUGGCUCUAAUCUCAUCUCUUGGUCUGCUACUAAACAAGACUCUGUAUCUCGCUCAUCAACUGAAGCAGAAUACAGAUGCUUAUCUGACACAGCAGCUGAACUUUCUUGGAUAAUUGAUGCUCUCAAAGAACUUGGCUUUCCUGUGACAAAGCCUGCGGAAGCCUACUGUGACAAUCUAUCUGCGGUUCAUCUUACAGCAAAUCCCGUCCUGCACAAGAAGUCUAAACACUUUGCUACUCAUUACCACUACGCUCGAGAACAAGUAGCUAAAGGUACUCUGAUCGUACGACAUGUUCCAGCUUCCUCUCAGCUGGCUGACAUCUUUACAAAGUCACUGCCUCAAGCAGCGUUCUAUUCCUUGCGGUCCAAACUCGGUGUUGUGCCUUCACCCACCACGAGUUUGCGAGGGGAUAUUAGCACGGCCCAUAUGAAUCAUAAGAAGACCGACACAAAGCCCGUUAGUAGCCAGCAACGUAACAAGCAAGAGUUACCGUCAGUGACAACCAGAGCACAAGGAUGUUGUGUGGGACGUACGGAAAAGCAUACUCUACAGCUGGGGAAUCGAUACUCGCUACUCUCUGUCGCCACGUGAUUAGGUCACAGCUGUAGAGGAUCCAGAUCCUUCUUCUUCUCUUUAUAUAAAUAUCAAACAUUGUAACAAGAGAACGUUAAGCAAUAAAGUUAUAAGCUUGAGACAAACCCUUUGCUCUGUUUUACUCUGUUAACCUUCAGCGCCAUCUCUCUUGCUUCAUUGCUUCGAACUCUCGUAGCCCAAUUAAAUAGAUAUGUGAGCAUAUAACUGAAGAGGAAGACAAACAAUCAAUAGUCAUAAUCAAGCAAUAACCAUUACAUAGAGAAAGAGAGAGAGUGAACAGACGAUUUGUGUCAAAGAAAAC
rnacentral:lncRNA from 1 species